GACGAACCGAGCGAACGUUGUUCGGAAUCACUGGGCUUAAAGGGCGCGUAGGCGGGCUGUCAAGUUUGGGGUGAAAUCCCGCGGCUCAACCGUGGAACUGCCUCAAAUACUGACGGUCUCGAGGGAGAUAGGGGCGAGCGGAACUAAUGGUGGAGCGGUGAAAUGCGUUGAUAUCAUUAGGAACUCCGGUGGCGAAGGCGGCUCGCUGGAUCUUUUCUGACGCUGAGGCGCGAAAGCUAGGGGAGCAAACGGG
rnacentral:rRNA from 1 species